GAUCAAAGUGACCUGGAACAACUCCCUUCAAACACAGUUCACAAAAAUGCCCUUUCAGGUUAUCAGUUACUUGGUGCUGAAAAAUGGUGCCAUUGCUGGGAUCACCUGGAUUAUGAAGGCAAAGUGAUAUUCACAUCAACUUACAGUAUUAUCAGCAGUAAUCAGGGUCCCUCUACAGGAGAUACUAUAACGUGCUGGGCAGAAAAUGCUUUUGUCAAGUCUGGGACUUUUAAACAAGUACAACGUUUCAUG